rnacentral:rRNA from 1 species
GAUGAACGCUGACAGAAUGCUUAACACAUGCAAGUCAACUUGAACUUCGGUUUGGGUGGCGGACGGGUGAGUAACGCGUAAAGAACUUGCCUCACAGCUAGGGACAACAUUUGGAAACGAAUGCUAAUACCUGAUAUUAUGAUUAUAUGGCAUCGUAUAAUUAUGAAAGCUAUAUGCGCUGUGAGAGAGCUUUGCGUCCCAUUAGCUAGUUGGAGAGGUAACAGCUCACCAAGGCGAUGAUGGGUAGCCGGCCUGAGAGGGUGAUCGGCCACAAGGGGACUGAGGCACGGCCCUUACUCCUACGGGAGGCAGCAGUGGGGAAUAUUGGACAAGGGACCGAGAGUCUGAUCCAGCAAUUCUGUGUGCACGAUGAAGUUUUUCGGAAUGUAAAGUGCUUUCAGUUGGGAAGAAAAAAAUGACGGUACCAACAGAAGAAGUGACGGCUAAAUACGUG